AUGGGCUCUCACACCAAUGACUGCAGGAGGCCUUGAUUUGCUUUAGCCUAGCUUAGCAACCUGCUAGCAAGGACCGAGCACUUGUUAACACUGUGGCAGUGCAUGAGCUAGCGUUAGCCUGCCCAAUGUAAUGCAGUGGAAUACGGACUAGUGUAGCGUGUUGAAGCCCAGUCUAGUGGAGUGCUGUGUGCAAGAUCAUAGUAAGACUCCUUGCUAGCAUAUGCUUGUGUUUAAUGCAGCGACCUGCUUCUGCAUGGAGGUAAAUGAAGCUUUUAAGCAGGGCGGAGGGAAGGGGGACCGCUGAAAAGAUUAAUUGACUUUCUGCAGAGCUUCACUUAUCCUCCUCUGGCACCUUUGACUUGGAUUAUGGCUCUAAAGGGACAACUUCAAGUAAGCAGUGGAAAGAGAGCAAAAGGAUGGACUAUGAUUGGUUGCCAUCUAGUGGCUUUAUCUCCGGCCUGCUGCUCCUGCUGCACCAUGAAGGUUUAAAAUGUUGGGUUUAGUAGAUUUGACUCCUAACAAAGGCAGGUAAUAAGAGAUUUCCUCUACCCUUCACAGGUAAGUUGUUGUCAAACAUUUUUCUCAGUAUUUGUAGAUAUUAGGAAAUGGUUAUUAAUGGCUUGAAAAAAUAGUUUUUUGGUGUGACCCUUCUUAUUAAAUAUAAAACUACACUGACUUCACAGCAACUAAAUGGAACAGGACCUUUUGUUUAUGUUAUGAAAAUAUAGAUUUUUUUUUUUUA